rnacentral:lncRNA from 1 species
CUGCGCGCUUCCGGCACCCACAGUCGGGUUCCAGGUUCCACCGUGGCGCUCCAGAGCGCCGCGCUUCUCGGGCGCACCUCUUCUCUGCCCUCUGUCACCUCAUACCCGUCAGUCCGCUCAGGACUGAUGAACCAAGUACUUUCUGAUGGAGACCGAGUUGGUCGAUGAGGCAGAGCUCAGGGGUUACCUAGUUGGGGCCAGGGUAAGGGAACAAAUGGAAAGAGCGGUUCGUAAAUCUUUAAACAGCUCUUAGAGGUUAUUUGCAAGAAUAAUUCCUAAGCAUCGGAAAUGCUGGGACAUUCUUGUGUGGGAGAAGUGUGCACACAACAAACAUAUCUUUCAGAAAGUCGAAAUGAGAUAGAUGAGAGAGGGUAGUAAAUAUAAAGUAGCAAUGGCAGGUUGCAAUGAAGAUACCGGGGCUUAGUUAAGCAAAGCAGUCGUGUUAAGGAAGACUAUUACGGCAUUAUUACUCUUCGACAAGGUGCAUAGCUUUUCCCAUUGAUAAUGGGAAAUGGUUAUGUCUCUGUGUUAGUGCGCAAGCAUUAUGCUCAAGGAGGAGAAAAGUUUAGCAUAAAAAGCCCAUGGAGUUUUAGACUUCAACCGAAUUCUUCCCCAAGUGCAUCAUCUUAGAAUAUAAAACACAGUCCUGGAUGACUGUAACCCCCAAAUUCAAGAAAAGGCAAAUUCAGAAAAUAGGUAAAUUCAAAAAAGUUUGUAGUCUCAUGCUAUUAAAUUUUUUCUGUGUGCUCAUAUAUUGCUCCCUUCCCCAAAGUUUACAACUAACCAGAUUUUCAAUGGCUCUAGCACCUACAGAAAGAACUACUGACAUACCUAAAAAGAGCUUUAACAUCAAAGGUAAUUUGUACUGGCUGAGCGUCCUGGCUUUGGAACAUUGUGAUCUAGCGAUGUGCCUCUGGGCAUGGGUUCAUCACUGGAGAAAUGAAAGUUAGAAGAGAAGACAAGGGUGCUCACCCUCUCAAAGAGUGGUAAAGAUUAAGUUAAAAAAUACUAUAUCACAAAAAAAUAGGUGAUAUAGUAGUUGUCCCAGGCGGUCCUGACCACUUUUAUAACAAAAGGAGGCGUGUCCAUCAGCGCACACCAUCUCAAAUACAUGCACAUACUGAACUUUGGGCUAAGUCAAGACAACGCCCUUUGUCGAAAAAGGAAGCAGCUGUCUCCAAAUAUAAAGAGGUAGGAUUAACACCCCCCACACACCUUACCUAUUUUUCUGAUAAUACCAAACUAGACCUUCACUGCCGUAGCUCCCGCUCCAACCUUGCCAUUACUACUUUUUUCUACCUGUGACAAUCUCACUGUCCAUAGCUGGCAUGCUGCUCGCUGUGCCACUGAGUUCUUUUGGUGGUCUCUAGGCUCCUACCUACCACGCUAGGCCACUCUGUAGGUCUCCCCAGCUUCUACUUGUGCUAAGAGGGAUAAUGUAGAAUGUAGGUGUCCCCCAUUUCCACCGCUGCUCCUCGGUGUCUACCAAUUUCGGAAACGAUCGUGUUUAUUGUUCACUGUCUCACUUCCCAGGGCUGCAGGGGCCUGGUCUCUGCAUCUUCCAACUCUACAGCAGGGCCUGGAGAGACGAAGGCGAAGCAAACUAGAAGUGCUCGCUCGGCCCUGGUCGCCGGAGGACACAGGUUCUAGACCUGAAUUUAGGGUCGCAGACUUGCGGUGCUAACGCCUGAGGGUUCCCAGGGUUUCCCGCUCGCUUUCACAGACCACCACAAGCUUAAGACCGAGAAUCACUUCCCAGGAUGGCCUGGGAUACUCAGUGAUGAACCCACGGUGACCUGGUGCUUCCUGCCCCGAGACCUGACAGCCUCAACACUCUGGGUAAAGUAAAUUAAAAACCCGGACAACUGGAGUCUUUGAGAAUGAAAACGACAUCGGGAUUCCAGACAGCUGACUCGCUCAGAGCUCCAACUGGGUGUACGCACGGCGAGUAAAGCCAACUCCUACAACGACACGUCACCGUGCUGGGCCGCUUCUUGGCUGGUGGGCGGGGCGACCCCUACUUCCGGAUCCGGCCUCUUCUGGGUAACGCCUCACCUGCGGUUCCCUAGGUUACCUGAUGGCGGGAGGGGGCGGGGUGGGCGGGGGCGGGGCGAAGCUUUCCAACUCUGGGUAGCCAGCUCCUGGUUGGUGAGGCUCUUCCCGACUAGAUUAAAGGGAAAAACGCAACUUUUUUCAGACUACUGAUAACUCUGACUGGAGCAAAACCUGAGGAAUAUGUUUUUUUUCUAUGUUCCACACGGCAUUUGACAAUUCGGAGAAGCUGAGGAAAGAGAGGGCUUUUUUGUUUGUUUUUUUUUCCAACAGGGUAGAGAAACCUGGCUGUCCUGGAACUCACGCUGUAGACCAGGAUGGCCUCGAACUCAGUAAUCCACCUGCCUCUGCCUCCCAAGUGCUGGGAUUAAAGGCGUGCGCCACCACUGCCCAGCGAAAAGGGCUUCUUUGGUUUGGUUUGAUUUUUGUUUUGUUUUUUUUGUUAACCAUGGAUAUGGAUGACGAAAACGGUCAGAUGAGCAAUGAACAAUUCAAUAUACGCUGACCUUUAUACUCAAAAUGGUUAAGAUGAUAAAUUUUAUUAUGUAUGAUUUGCCACAGUUAAAAUCGAAAAUUCUCCCCCCCCCACACACACUUUUCUGCUGAAAUAAUUUAGAUGUCUGUUUUUCUGAAUUUCUCACACUAUAUGAAUGAGAUGGCCAGAUUUAACAAAUAUACAGGUACCCAUUAAUGUUUUAAUUUCAGAUGCUCAAUCAAAUAAUACACAGGAAAUACAAGUAUAUUACUUGGCCAUCCUACACAUGGGUGGAGGGUAAACUGAUAGGAAAGUGCCUUAUACUUGAAAAGAACGUGCAUUGAUUUUACUAGCUAUGUGCCUGUAAAUGAAAGAGUCUUUGAGAUUUUCUUUAGAAGGGGAAAAAAAAUCUAGAUCUUCAUUUCCUGAUAGUAUAUCAUCAAUGACAGGUCAGAAUAUCAUACCCAAAAUAUUCCAUUUGGGCAUAAAAGACAACACUGCGUUAAAGGCAGCAGAAAACUAGUGUGCACAAGAUGGUCCUCUUUUGUGUCUAAGCAGAAUAGAGAUUUGCCUUUAUAGAAGUAGGGGGAGAGCCUGCUGGGCGAGGCCUGCAACCCCAUCUCCUUGGGAGGUUGAGACAAGGAUCACAAGUUGAAGACCUGCCUAAGGUGCAGAUCCCUGAGUCUGAGAACAGCUUGGGAAACGUAAUGAAACUGUCUCAAGAAGU